UACGUAGGCAGCAAGCGUUGUUCGGAAUUACUGGGCGUAAAGAGUGUGUAGGCGGUGUUCUAAGUCUGGUGUGAAAUCUCCCGGCUCAACUGGGAGGGUGCGCUAGAAACUGGAAUGCUAGAGGAUGGGAGAGGUAAGCGGAAUUCCUGGUGUAGCGGUGAAAUGCGUAGAUAUCAUUUGGAACGCCAAUGGUGAAAACAGGUAGCUGGGGCUGUGCUGACACUGAGACACGAAAGCCAGGGGAGCAAACGGG
rnacentral:rRNA from 1 species